UCUUACGGAUGAGCAAAGAAAGUGAUUUCUUGAGAUGGAAACUAUUCCUGGUGAAGACACUUGAGAA
rnacentral:pre_miRNA from 1 species